rnacentral:rRNA from 1 species
AUUGAACGCUGGCGGCAGGCUUAACACAUGCAAGUCGAGCGAGCGGCGGACGGGUGAGUAACGUCUGGGAAACUGCCUGAUGGAGGGGGAUAACUACUGGAAACGGUAGCUAAUACCGCAUACCAUCAGAUGUGCCCAGAUGGGCUUAGCUAGUAGGUGGGGUAAUGGCUCACCUAGGCGACGAGCCCUAUCUGGUCUGAGAGGAUGCCCGGCCACACGGGAACUGGGACACGGUCCGAACUCCAACGGGAGGCAGCAGUGGGGAAUAUUGCACAAUGGGCGCAAGCCUGAUGCAGCCAUGCCGCGUGUGUGAAGAAGGCCUUAGGGUUGUAAAGCACUUUCAGCGAGGAGGCGUUACUCGCAGAAGAAGCACCGGCUAACUCCGUGCCAGCAGCCGCGGUAAUUC